rnacentral:rRNA from 1 species
AGUGAACGCUGGCGGUAGGCCUAACACAUGCAAGUCGAACGGCAGCACAGUAAGAGCUUGCUCUUACGGGUGGCGAGUGGCGGACGGGUGAGGAAUACAUCGGAAUCUACUUUUUCGUGGGGGAUAACGUAGGGAAACUUACGCUAAUACCGCAUACGACCUACGGGCGAAAGCAGGGGAUCUUCGGACCUUGCGCGAUUGAAUGAGCCGAUGUCGGAUUAGCUAGUUGGCGGGGUAAAGGCCCACCAAGGCGACGAUCCGUAGCUGGUCUGAGAGGAUGGUCAGCCACACUGGAACUGAGACACGGUCCAGACUCCUACGGGAGGCAGCAGUGGGGAAUAUUGGACAAUGGGCGCAAGCCUGAUCCAGCCAUACCGCGUGGGUGAAGAAGGCCUUCGGGUUGUAAAGCCCUUUUGUUGGGAAAGAAAAGCAGCAGGUUAAUACCCCGCUGUUCUGACGGUACCCAAAGAAUAAGCACCGGCUAACUUCGUG